rnacentral:lncRNA from 1 species
UGAUUAUGCACGCAAAUUUUUGCCACAUAAUAUAUAUCCAGCAUUAGUAACCAUUGACACAGAUUUCUCAUAAUUAUUUGAUUUUCCAUCAUUAUUUUUGUUAGCACAAGUGAUUGUUAUAUUCUUGUCUCUGCCUAACUUUGCAACUUCACUUGUUAACAUGUAUUAAAUUUUAUGAGCUGUCCAGAAGAUAGUUACAAUGGAGCAGAUCUUCUUGACUUGAAUAGAACAACUUUAUUGGACCUCAUUGUGCAAAUAUGUAAGGUACCUAAAACAUUCCAUCUUGAGGGAGUGUUACAUUAGGACUUGUUCUGGUGUUCAGUAAAAAUUUCCUGUCAUGAUAUUCUUAGGGAAGGGGAUACAACAUUUUGCAUAAGAAGCCAAUUGACUCUUUGUGAAAGAAGUGAUCAAAACCAGAUACCCAGUGCUUUAUGUUGAAAAACAAAGGGUGGCCCUGGAUAAGGCUUAUUGGAAGAAAACGGGAAAAUGGACAUCAGUGGUCCCAACAAGAACUCAUCAAGAUGGGGGCUAAGUUUUGAACUGAUGAACAGAACUCAACACAUAGACAGACGGAUUGGAUUGAAAUGGAAGAUUUGGGCACAUCAUAUGUUUUAGUCAAGUGGAAAGACAAGCUCCUGUCAUUGCCUAUAGCACUGCCUAGUUUCCUUCCAAUUAUCAAUAAAAUUCUUUGUUAUUAGGUUUCUUCUGUUCCACUAUAAGCUCAAGUAAUUCACAACAAUAAAACAAAACAAAAAUAAUUAACAUUCACGAGAAUAAAGAGCAGCCAUUAAAUCAUGAAGUUAUCAGGGUAAGUAUGCCUUUGAGAUGGUCUGUGCCUCUCUGACCUUCUGUUCUGGAACUGAUGUACCCAAUCAGUCAAUUUUGCUGAUGUACAACAAAUUAUGUUCUAUAUAUUUUUUCAAACCAUUGAUGAAAUUUGAACACUGAGGCUACGAACUUCUCUCUCUGUACUUUUUGCUUAAACUGGAAAAAAAUAAUAUUUUGCUCUUCUCAAAAAAGGAAGAUAAUUUUCCUCUUUCUUACAACAAUCUUUAUAUUUUUAGUUCUUUCUGAAUCUGUAUGUUGCUAUUUUUUCUAUCUUUAUUCUCUUUCAUUUUUGGGUAAUUUAUAUUUAUUAAUUGGUCAACACUUUUUUUUAAAAAUUAUACUUUAAGUUUUAGGGUACAUGUGCACAUUGUGCAGGUUAGUUACAUAUGUAUACAUGUGCCAUGCUGGUGCACUGCACCCACUAACUCGUCAUCUAGCAUUAGGUAUAUCUCCCAAUGCUAUCCCUCCCCCCUCCCCCCACCCCACAACAGUCCCCAUAGUGUGAUAUUCCCCUUCCUGUGUCCAUGUGAUCUCAUUGUUCAAUUCCCACCUAUGAGUGAGACUAUGCGGUGUUUGGUUUUUUGUUCUUGCGACAGUUUACUGAGAAUGAUGAUUUCCAAUUUCAUCCAUGUCCCUACAAAGGACAUGACCUCAUCAUUU